rnacentral:rRNA from 1 species
AUUGAACGCUAGCGGCAUGCUUAACACAUGCAAGUCGAACGAGUGGCGGACGGGUGAGUAAUGUCUGGGCACCUGCCCAGUGGAGGGGGAUAACUACUAGAAAUAGUAGCUAAUACCGCCUACUAUGGGAGGUGCGCAUAUGGGAUUAGCUAGUUGGUGGGGUAAAGGCUCACCAAGGCCACGCUCCCUCGCUGGUGUGAGAGGAUGCCCAGCCACACUGUAGCUGAGCCACGGCCCAGACUCCUACGUGAGGCAACAGUGGGGAAUUUUGGACAAUGGGCGCAAUCCUGAUGCAGCCAUGCCGCGUGUAUGAUGAAGGCCUUCGGGUUGUAAAGUACUUUUUGCAGGGAAGCGUUAUCUGCAGAAUAAGCACCGGCUAACUACGUGCCAGCAGCCGCGGUAAUUC